CCACUCGCAAGAGCAGCCGUUGGCCAGAGAGAAAAUAGUAAAAAGUAUCGGAAUCAAAAUGAUGGACAUCUGCGCCAGGGAUACACUAAACUAGCCGAGCUGCUUGUUCACGAGGGUCGUCUCCUGAGAAAGAGUUGAUCUUCUUUUGCGACAUAAUGAAAUUGGCAAACUAAUCCGUACCCGGUCCGCCAGCUCAUCCGCAAAGCAAUUCGAAGGAGAAAGCUAAUGCCAUCGCUGAUGGCCAUGCAGUUCCCUGAAAUUAUU